AUCCUCCGCGCACGCGACGCCGCCGAGACAACGCCGCCGGUUCGCUGCCGGAGUGCCGGAUCCUGCUCCUGCGCCCGCCGUUUCUCAGUCGAAACUUCGCUCCGCUCCCGCUCCCGCCCAUGGCCCGACCCAAGGCCGCCGCUGCGAGCAGCGGCAGCGGCGGCUGCCUCGCAGGGUGGGGCUGGGACCUCAUGCUCGGAUCGAUCGCCGCGUUCUACGCCGUCAUGGCGCCCUACACCAAGGUGGAGGAGAGCUUCAACGUGCAGGCCAUGCAUGAUAUUCUCUAUCACACUUAUCACAUUGAGAAGUAUGAUCAUUUAGAAUUUCCUGGAGUUGUUCCUCGAACGUUUAUAGGAGCAUUUGUUAUCUCUAUUUUCUCAUCACCAGCAGUCUUUGUAAUGCGUUUACUUCAUGUUCCAAAGUUUUAUAGUCUUCUUACAGUUCGAUUACUAUUGAGUUUUGUUACCUUGUUGAGUUUGAGACUUCUUCGAGUUCAGGUGAAAAAGAAGUUUGGUCAUCAAGCUGAAGUGUUCUUUGUGAUACUAACUGCUAUCCAGUUUCACUUGCUGUUCUACUCAAGUCGUCCGCUUCCAAAUAUCUUUGCUUUAGCUUUAGUCAACUUGGCAUACUCUUUAUGGUUUAAUGGAAGCAACCUUUGUACAUUACAAGCCCUGAUUGCUGCAGCGAUCAUUUUUAGAUGUGAUAUAAUUCUUCUUAUUGGCCCAAUAGGGCUUGCACUUUUAUUGAGCAGGUCUGUUUCUCUGCUGGAAGCAGUAAAAUAUUGUGUGAGCACUGCCCUUAUAUGCAUCGGAUUUACGGUGCUAAUUGACUCUAUAAUGUGGCGUCGAAUCCUGUGGCCAGAAUUUGAAGUUCUCUGGUUUAAUUCAGUUCUGAAUCGAAGUUCAGAAUGGGGCACCCAUUCAAUUCAUUGGUACUUUACCUCAGCACUUCCACGCUCCAUGCUUGUGGCGUACCCUCUUUGCAUGGUUGGUGCCCUUCUUGAUAGAAGGAUAGUACCAUACAUGCUUCCGGUCUUCUUAUUUGUUGUACUCUAUUCAAAACUUCCACAUAAGGAACUUCGUUUCAUAAUCGGCUCAAUUCCCAUGUUUAAUGUGUCCGCUUCACUAGCAGCUAGCAGACUAUAUAAUAACCGAAAGAAAGCUGGGUGGAAUUUACUCUAUAUUCUCAUGCUUGGUGCCUUUCUUGUCAGUCUAGGAUACUCUGCUGUGACUUUUAUGGCAUCCUACAACAAUUAUCCUGGUGGCUAUGCUCUAAAGGCUCUACAUGAAGCAGAUUCUUCAGUGAAGGAAAAGAUGGUACAUAUUGAUGCCUUCACCGCGAUGAGUGGGGUUUCUCGUUUCUGCGAAAGCGAAUAUCCGUGGAGAUAUUCUAAGGAGGAACAAAUUUCCAUUGAAGAAUUUCAGGAAAGGAAUUUCACCUAUCUACUGAAUGAACACCACUCCAUUAGUGGGUACAAAUGCUUGUUUGCUGUGGAUGGAUUCUCCAGAGUAAAACUUCAGCACCAAAUUCCCCCACUUUACCUGGUGAAAGAGCCCAAGGUGUUUGCACAUGGGAAUCUGAGAGACCCUGACAUUCUUUCACUGAAUUGGCCCGGCUGUCCUUGAGGACAGACUUCUGUCACAGGACCACUAACUGCCAACAGUGAAGAUGUGUUCGCUGUUCAGUCAGUCUGUGUGAUACAUAUGAUAUAUCUGGGGGGUGUUGGCAUUCAUUUAGUGCAACCUGUAAAUCUAGAUGGAUUCCUCCCCAUAUCCCAACUCCCAAACCACAGCUUUAAUGGGACUGCCAUUUUAGGUGAAAAUUUCUGCAACAUUUUCGAGCAGGAAAAAAGGUACAACUCUUUUCGUAAAAUGAAUAGGGGGAAUCACAAACAUCCACAGCUUUGAGACAGCUCUCAGACUUUAUUGGUCAGCAGGAGCUGGCAGCAUUCGCGCUGGACAAACAUGCUGAGACCAAGGAGGCGAGCUGUAAAUCAAAUCUCCUCGGCGAGCCAGCGCGUGACGCCACCAACCCAGAGCCGGUGCUGACGGCAGCGUGCACAUACGGAGGGGGCGGGCCACAUGGCCGCGCGACUCGACGAGCGCACGUACGGAGACUCCGCGCCGCUCACCGUGAAAGGGAGAGGGCAGAGGGGGGAUACAAUGUCAAGAACUUGGCAAACCAAAAAGGAAUCGAGUUGGGAUUGAACCAAAACACAGAACUUAGAAGGUAAUCGACGGAUAGAGUAGCAAGAACUUUACGGAAUCAAUGAACAGGGAGGAAUCCAAUACAGCAGCUGCGAGGGAGACGGUGAAGUUCUACUAACUACUCUACCAACUACUAGGGCUCAAGUUUUUUUUGAUGCCCUUGCAGACCCACUGAUCAGCCUAAAUAGCAAUGGCUUGGUCGGUUAAAGUAAACACAGUUUAAAUUGAAAGAAACUACUAUUUAGCAUCUGAUAAUACAAAGGAAGAAGAUAA